rnacentral:rRNA from 1 species
UACGGGGGGGGCAAGCGUUGUUCGGAAUUACUGGGCGUAAAGGGCUCGUAGGCGGCCAACUAAGUCAGACGUGAAAUCCCUCGGCUUAACCGGGGAACUGCGUCUGAUACUGGAUGGCUUGAGAUUGGGAGAGGGAUGCGGAAUUCCAGGUGUAGCGGUGAAAUGCGUAGAUAUCUGGAGGAACACCGGUGGCGAAGGCGGCUCUCUAGUACGGUAAUGACGCUGAGACGCGAAAGCGUGGGGAGCGAACAGG